rnacentral:tRNA from 1 species
CCUCGCAUGGCGCAGUAGGCAGCGCGUGAGUCUCAUAAUCUCAAGGUCGUGAGUUCGAUCCUCACUCGGGGCA